AAUAACUCAAUCCUUCCAAAAACAUGAUGAAUUCUUGAACCAUAAUCAAGAUAUGGACAUGCAUGUGGAAAUUCAUGUCAAACAACUUCAAAUUUCAAGAAUAUGUACAUGCAUGCAUGAACUCACUCUCAAAUUCACAUCUUCACUUCAAUUCUUGACUUAGAACACCAAUUUACCAUGAACCAUGCAAGAACCAACUUGAAUACAUAAUUUAAAGGAUGAAUAUCCUACCUUGAGUCCUCAAUUUCAAGUCUAGAAGCUCAGUAAUGCAAUCUACUCUUCAAUUCUUCAAGUUCUCCAAGCAAUUCUCUAGAUGAAACAAUUCUCUCUCAAGUCUCUCUCUCUCUCUUGGUUUUGACUCUAGAGGAAAUGGGUGAGAUGGUGUUUGUAAUGCAAAGGCAAGUCACUAACAAAGGUGUAGGAAUAGGUCACUCAAUGGCAAGUUGGUAAAUAACUCAAAUUGAUGUAAUACAACUUUAUUUAAUCCAAUUUUAAUCAUACCAAAUCAAAUUUCAAUUAAACAUACCAUAAAAUCACAUAAACUCUAAUUAGCAUAAAACACUAAUCAAUUUCAGAUUCGGCCAUCGAUAAGGCCUUCAAUUUUCAUAUAAAAGCGGAAUUCCAGACAGAUGUUUCUACAAGUAACAGAUAUAAGGCCAAAUAUCAUGCAAAUUACAUAAUAAACCAUAAUUUAUUUUAAUUCUCUCAUUAACAUCCUUAAUUACUGAUUAGUAUCUAAUUACGGGUCGGGGUUAUUACAGUCUCCUCGCCUUAAGAAGUUUGGUCCUCCAAACUCAAGUUAUCUUAAAGGAAUCGAUGUUCAACAAAUAUAUAAUUUCAACUCUUUACAAAAUAGAAGCAUAACCAUAUUCAUAAAUAUACUCAUAACCCAAUCUCAACCUUAGCUUCGUAUAGAAACAGAAUCAUAAAUCAUAUACAGAGAUUAGGGUUUGUAUCAAAACAGAGUCUAUACACAACUAGAUUUUAAUCAGAAAUAGAUUCAGAUACAUGCUCAUUUUCAUAUUCUUGUCCAGAUCAAACACAGAUGUCACAAGUCUGCUUAAGCAUACGUGGUGCAUUCAUUAGCACUAACAGAGCAGAUACAGAACAUAUGCAGACAUGGCAGGUACAGAAUAGAUACAGACAUGGCAGAUACAGAACAGAUACAGACACGUGAUGGUUAUGAAUAACCAGUUCCAUAAAGGAACCUCCGAAUCUGGGAACAGAACAGAAGCUGAGCCCCCGUAACAGGGCCUCCGGUACGGGUAACAGAGUGCAGACAGAAAUAAGUUCCAUAAAGGAACCUCCGAUACCGGGUAACAGCCAACAGAUAUUGUAAUAACCCAACCCUCGUAUAUGAUUUUAGUAUUGUUCUGUCCCUAACUUUUGUGCUUUUAAGUGCUCAUUGUGAAAGUUCAUGUGAAAUUAAGUAAACUCUAUGUUAGGAUGCAUAUCUGUUUAAUAAGGAAAAGAUUUGUCACAAUUGGAAUGUUUGACUCAGAAAUUGAGAGCCUUAGAGGCUUGAUAGUCUGAAACUGAUUUGACAUUUGAGAUCUGCAUAAUUUUUAAGCUAUUAUAUGACUCUGUGAAAAUUUAAUUCGGAAUGCUUAAACUGAUUAAAUUUUGUCCUUUUCACCUUUAUAUCUAUAUAUCUAUGUUCUAACUUUGACUUAGAAGUCUCAAGUUAAGGAAACAUCUUGUGAGAGAGAGGGUAGAGAAGAAUUUGAGAGGAGGAGUUCUUCAAGGAAGGAAUUGGGGGAAAUUAGAGAUUUGAUUCAAGGACACGCUUCGGGAGGAACUAGUGCCCCGCAGCAACACAGUAACCAACCUGGAGGUCGGUCCUAGUCCUGCCUCCGUCACACUUUUGCCAGCCUAAGCUUAACUAGACACUUGGUCGAAGCCGUAUAUUUUUGAAGUGUUUUGCUAGACGAUGGCUUGCAUAGUUAGUGACUUAGGAUAAAAUGUACUUAAUGUUUUUGUUAUACGCCUAUCCUUAGGGCUGGUUCUGUAUAUGCAUAUGUUUAUAUAUAGCUCUCAAAUGUGUAUCCCCUUAUGUCUAUUCGUCUUAUGCUAUAUCUGUGAUCCUGGCAUGGUAGUAGUAGCUCAAUGGAUGUCAUACUUUCUUAUAUAUUACUCUAUGAUAUCAAUGCUUCCGUUCAGGCCCUCAUGUUAUGUAUAUAUAUCAGGUUAAAUGACUAUUUUUGCAUAGGUCAUGCCCGAACUUUUAGGGGUGAGUUUGGGGGCGUGACAGAUAUCACAUAAUACUAAGAGUCACGAAUACAUAUCAGAGAUUGAUCAAUCAUUCAGUAUACAGCAUAUAGCCUUUCAGGAAACAAAACUUAUUUCGUGACACAGAACAUAAAUACAGUUGCACACAUCUUUACUGUAUUAAUACUCACAUUACUUAUUUCGGGGUUAUAGAUCAGCACUAUUCCCAUUUCUUAAGUAAUUUCCCCCGUUAAGUUACAGAGAUUAGAUUCAUUCAUUUCCGAGUCAUUCAUUCGGUCUUUGUUCAAUUUGGUUCUCAACGUCACAGUCAGUCCAGGUCAUUCUAAAGUCAUCAGGAAUACUAGGCAACUUUGUACAUUAAUCCCAUAGCAGUAGGCAAAAUUCUGAAGUAACCAUUCAUAUACUAUUCAUCAGCUUCAGUUCUCACAGAUUUAAUCGUACUAUGUGUCACUACAGAAGCAGUCAUACUGAUUACAUAUACUCCCAGAUAGUCAGAGUUUAUAACCCAACCAGGCUGUUGUCAACAAACUCCAUCAGUUUUGAAGUACAGUAACACCAAAGCAAUCGUUCUCUAGUCAAACAAGUUCAUAGUCAUAACGGUAAUACCGGGUAAUUAAUCACAUGUCAUAUAUAUACAGUAUUUCCAUAUUUCCCAAGCAUAAGUUACCAAAUUCCAUAAUCCCAUUCGCGUGUUUCCAAUCGGUUUUAGGCAUAUGAUAAAAAGUCAUUUAUAAUCACACAAUCUGCUGUUGACGGUUCACAUUCUUCCUAAGUGUUCAAGAUUCAAAUUUUCAUUCGAUUAGUUCUCUUAGCAACACAGCCCUGUCGUUCAAUCAUAAACAAUUCACAAUCCCUCCAUAAUGUAGUCAAAUCAGAUAAUAGUUCUCCUCAGAUCAGAUUAAUGAAAGUUCAACCAGGUCAUAUCAGAUGAAAGUUUUACCCAGUCAUAUCAAAUAAAAGUUCAAAGCGUGAGUUAUCAAACAGAAGUUCCAUCAGUUAAACAAAGGUCUCAUCAAACCAAAGUUCUAUCAGACCAGAUCAGAUAAAAGUUCUACCCUUAUCAUUUUCAAACGAGGUACAUUAGUUUUAUCGUUCAUACUUCGUUCGCUUAGGUGCAUAGUCAGUAGUUCUAUAAUUGUUCUAAGUUCCUCGGUUCUCAAAUCACAUCAGAGUUAUGUAUCACAAUAGUUCAUAUUAAAGAGUUCAGGUCAUAUACAAUGUUACAUUCUCCAAGUAAGUUCACAUGUGGGUGCACAGGUAUGUAAUUGUUUAUAUCAAGAAGUAAGCAUCACAGUCAAUAUAACAAUUUUCCAGCGUGUCACGACCCAAACCCGCCCCUAUAGGUUUAGCAUCGUAACCGGCCAAUAAUCCUUGGCUUACCGAAGGCCUCUGUACAGAUUAACAAGAUUAAGGGGCUAGCGGAAGCAAAUACAUAAAUAUAGUUGUCUAAUGAGCUAUGCUGACUUAUAUGAAACAGAAUAUUUAAAACUUUAUAUACAUAACCAUAAGUCAACCAUACGUUAUAUUAUACCCAUACACAUUACAGUAUCUUAAGUACAGCCAACAGAAUUACAUCAAGCCAUAAACAUAUACAAAAAUGACAGAACUUGAGCACAGGAUACUUCGGGAACCUCCACGUGAGGCACAAUGGUUGGCUGACAACAGAACACAGGUCCAGACAAAGGCCUUCGGGUUUGAUUUCCAGAAUGCUCACCUAUAAUAUAUAUAUACAAACAGUGAGUUAAAGCCUAGUGAAUAAUAUUAAGGUAAAGGGGUUAGUGAACGAAAUCCA